rnacentral:rRNA from 1 species
AGCCUAGCUUGCUGGGUGGAUUAGUGGCGAACGGGUGAGUAACACGUGAGUAACCUGCCCUUGACUCUGGGAUAAGCACUGGAAACGGUGUCUAAUACCGGAUAUUUCAGCUGGCCGCAUGGUCUGGUUGUGGAAAGAAUUUUGGUCAAGGAUGGACUCGCGGCCUAUCAGGUUGUUGGUGAGGUAAUGGCUCACCAAGCCUACGACGGGUAGCCGGCCUGAGAGGGUGACCGGCCACACUGGGACUGAGACACGGCCCAGACUCCUACGGGAGGCAGCAGUGGGGAAUAUUGCACAAUGGGCGAAAGCCUGAUGCAGCAACGCCGCGUGAGGGACGACGGCCUUCGGGUUGUAAACCUCUUUUAGUAGGGAAGAAGCGAAAGUGACGGUACCUGCAGAAAAAGCACCGGCUAACUACGUGCCAGCAGCCGCGGUAAUACGUAGGGUGCAAGCGUUGUCCGGAAUUAUUGGGCGUAAAGAGCUCGUAGGCGGUUUGUCGCGUCUGCUGUGAAAACUGGAGGCUCAACCUCCAGCCUGCAGUGGGUACGGGCAGACUAGAGUGCGGUAGGGGAGAUUGGAAUUCCUGGUGUAGCGGUGGAAUGCGCAGAUAUCAGGAGGAACACCGAUGGCGAAGGCAGAUCUCUGGGCCGUAACUGACGCUGAGGAGCGAAAGCAUGGGGAGCGAACAGGAUUAGAUACCCUGGUAGUCCAUGCCGUAAACGUUGGGAACUAGAUGUGGGGGCCAUUCC